CUCAAGGACUGGGACACCUGUCCCUCCUCCUCCACCCACGCUGCGGGGAACUGCAUGGCUCCUCCGGGCGGGGACCAUAGCUUUCCGCCUCAACGUACCUGGGGCUCGGCAUGCUGCGUUGAAUUUUGGAGUGGAUGAGGAGUGAGGGUGUGGCAGGGCGGCUGGAGCUGCCCAACUGCUGAAACUGCUGCAGGUGCCACAGCGGCUGGCUCCCUGAAAGCGUCCUCCUGCCUCUGAGACCGUAGCGCAGGAGGGUGCGAGUGCACCUCCGCAAGGCCUGACGCUGCUGAUCCACUUCCUCUCCCCACGAUGGGGACACACUUGGCGACAGUUCCAUCUGGGGAAGAGACCCAGCCGGAACCCAGGGAAGAGCAGGCUGUGAAAACUGGGCAGAAACUUGCGGCGACUCGGAAGACACUGCCAGGAAACCCUCCCCGGGCCUCCUGUGGGGCUUGUAGCAGCCGCAGGGGUUGGCUCUCACCUUCUAGUCCCAGCCAGGUUGUCUUGGAGUCAGCUAAUGGGCAAGGCCCCUACCUCUCUUAGGAUCUGAGGAUGGGAGGGGCUGCGUUUUUCCAGAGGAUCUGCACGUGUGCAGGCUGAGUGUUGAGACUUGAUUGGUGUCAACUGGCACUGCCUGCCCAUGAUGCACAAAAGCUACUGUAAGAAACAGGGUCCAUGUCUCCAGGGAGCAGGACCCCGUUCUGAGGCCACAACCCCGAGGGCAGUCUCCGCCUGCAGAGUCCUCCCUCUCGCACCGGCUCACCUCGUGGUGAAUCCCUUGGCUACGGUUUGGUGUGAGAAAAGAGAUGGGUGUUUCACUCCCUGCUGCAUCCCUGGUGACGGCCCUGGCAUUUCGGGGCAUGAGAUCUUUGCUUAAAGGUUUUGCGGUGGUCACUGCACAGGGGGUGGGGGUGGGGUCCCUUGGUGCAAUUUAUCCGAUUCUGCUGCGUGGAUGACAUCCACAGUGUUCCUCUCCAGUGGGGAUUAUCUGAGACCUUUCCGCAUGCCCGCACCCACAGUCCGCUCCCUCACGGCAGCAUGAACUCAGGAGGCGGGCGUUCCCACAGUCAUUACAUUUGCAGGGCCUCUCUAUGUCCACUCUGAUGCCUGAGGACCAGCGCUUCCACGAAGGUGUGGCCACGUCCAGUGCUGCUCAUUGGCUUCUCUCCUGCGGGAAUGUUCUGAUCCCGAACGGAGCCUGAGCAUGCGCGAAACCCUUCCCACGUUCACAAGGUGCUUCUCCAGUGUUCCAUUACAUCUCACCUAUGCACACUACAUGCAUACGGUUUCCACCGGCUGUGCGUGUCCCUAGAAGUCACAUUCACGGCGUUUCUCCCUGGGAGGAAUUCUCCCGUGCAUGGCUGCUCUGAGACCAUUUGCACCUGCGGCCACGCGUGGGCUCCUCGAGGCUUACAAACCAGGCUGGACUCCUGAAGCCCUAGCUGCACUUGGCACUCGGCGAGGUUUUUCUACAAAAUCUCAUCUCAGCCAUCUGAGUCCUUCACCAUUUAUCUUAUGAAUCCGCUCGAACGUACAAGGAAGGCCUCUCUGCCCUCCUGCUCCAGGGAGGAGGUUUUGACCCUCAGCUCCACCUCUGCGGCUGGCCCGGUCUCCGCAAACCUUUUUCUGCUUGGCCAGCUGGUGCCAUGCUAGGCUUUCCCACUAGGGGCGCCAGAGAAAGCGCGCGAGGCUGCGGAGGAGAGAGGGGCACACUCUUUCCGGUUUGCUUCCGGUUUUUUCCUCAGGCUUCCGGUCUGUUUGGUGCCCUGGUCGCGUGUCUUCCGAACUCUGCUGCUUCGCCCCGGCAAGAGCACUUCCUUCCGCGGCUGCUAAAACUGGUGCGCGGGUUCCCAACUUCGCAGAAGAGCUUCAUCGGCCCCCCGCUAGAGACCUCAGACCGCAGCCAUCGACGCCUCGCCUCGGGGAUCUGUCCCCACCCUCGGGGCCAGCCCUAGCGUAGCAGGUGCUCCCUGCAGUUUUUGCUUCUGAGAUAGAGUUCUCUUUUCAGCUCCUUCGGUAGUCACUUCGUACAUAGUGAUUCAUGAUGCGAAAUCCUCUCUGUUGAAAUAACUGACGAGGCCUCUGUCUUCUGACUGGACCCUGACUUCCAUGCCCUUUCCACUCUCACUCCAGUACAUGCCCAAACCCCAAUCUUUGUUGCUCCAGGCAUUGCCUCUGUGGCGCUGUGUCCCCUCCUUUGAACUCUGAUCCUUCUGCUCAGGCCCUUUCUCCCAGUCUGAACUCACCAUGAGUCAGGCCCUGUGCUAGGUGCUGGGAUGAAGCAGUGACUGACACAGGCCUGGACCUGUCCUUGGGAAGAGUGCGUCUGUGACACAGAUACUGUGCCAUGUGGCAAAACUUGAAUGGAGACAUCAGCUCUUUGUGGGUCUCAAGUCUACUGGCUUUCAAUCAGCUCUUCUGCUUGACAGCUGCAGGUCUUGGGACUGCCCAGCCCCCAUAACCCUGUGAGUGCAUUCCUGAUAAUAACCCUCUUUCUCUUGUCCUCCCCCACCCCACAUCAUUGGUUCUGUUUCUCUGGAGAACCAUAAUACAUCAUUUACUAAUCAGGAAAUAGAUUCAGAGACAUUAAUAACUCAUCCAACCUCACAGUUAACUGUAGAGUUGGGCUUGAAAUUCCAAGGUCGAUUUUCUUAGCCAAUACACCAUGCUACAUAUAUGUAUGUAAAAAUAAAAACGCUUGUGAACUGAAAAGGGUCCAAACUUAAGCUCAUUUUGGUCCUUAAUUGCUAAUCCAUAGGCAUGUUUUGGUCCUUAAUUGCUAAUCCAUAAGCAUGUUUCGGUCCUUAUUUGCUAAUCCAUAGGCCUGCACACCUGCCCCCAAGGCCAUGG
rnacentral:lncRNA from 10 species